AUACUAUUUUUUCACCUCAGAGCGCAUAAAUCUUUCUACUUUUACUAAAGAUUUCCGGGGAGUGGAAUACGGGAGAAAAAUACGGGAGUAUUCUCGUAUUUUUUGCAGGGCUUCCUCGUAUUGCAU
ensembl:snRNA U5 U5 spliceosomal RNA